UACGGAGGGUGCAAGCGUUAUCCGGAUUCACUGGGUUUAAAGGGUGCGUAGGUGGGUCUGAAAGUCAGUGGUGAAAUCUCCGUGCUUAACAUGGAAACUGCCAUUGAUACUCUGGAUCUUGAAUUUUCUGGAGGUUAGCGGAAUAUGUCAUGUAGCGGUGAAAUGCUUAGAUAUGACAUAGAACACCAAUUGCGAAGGCAGCUAAUUACGGGAGUAUUGACACUGAGGCACGAAAGCGUGGGGAUCAAACAGG
rnacentral:rRNA from 1 species